rnacentral:rRNA from 1 species
GACGAACGCUGGCGGCGUGCUUAACACAUGCAAGUCGAACGGUAAGGCCCCAGCUUGCUGGGGUACACGAGUGGCGAACGGGGGAGUAACACGCGGGUGACCUGCCCCUCACUUCGGGAUAAGCCUGGGAAACUGGGGCUAAUACCGGAUAGGACCGCACCGAGAGGGUGGGGUGGAAGGUUUUUCGGGGCGUGAUGGGCCCGCGGCCUAUCUGCUCGUUGGAGGGGCAAUGGCCUACCAAGGCGGCGACGGGUAGCCGGCCUGCGAGGGUGGACGGCCACAUUGGGACUGAGACACGGCCCAGACUCCUACGGGAGGCAGCAGUGGGGAAUAUUGCACAAUGGGCGGAAGCCUGAUGCAGCGACGCCGCGUGGGGGAUGACGGCCUUCGGGUUGUAAACACCUUUCACCAUCGACGAAGGUUUUCUGACGGUAGAUGGAGAAGAAGCACCGGCUAACUACGUG